CAAUGAGAGUGUGAGUGAGAGAGUGAGUAUAAAAGAGGGAACAUUGAGGACUACUCCACAACCAGAGCAGAUCUGGUCUAAGGAAGAGGAUAGUUUCCUGAAAAACUACACUGAGACUGAACACUGAAAAUGGGAGUGGAUAAGCAGAAAGUAGAAACAGAGAAGUCUCAGAUUACAGACUGUGAUCUGUCUGAGAAGAUAAAGACUGUGACUAAGGAAAGUCAUGUCCAAGCCAAUAGCACAGAGUUGAUGCAAGCCUUCCAGAGGGGAAAUAUCACUCUGAUGCAGUAUAAGCUCCUGCUGUGCUCCUUGUAUAAGAUUUAUGAAGCUCUGGAAGAGGAACUGGACAGAAACGCCUCUCACGACAGUGUCGCACCAAUUUACUUCCCUCAGGAACUGAGCAGGACGGAGACGCUCAAGAAAGAUCUGGAACACUUUUACGGUCAGGACUGGCAAGAGAAGAUAUUCGUACCGGCCUCUACACUGAGAUACACUCAGAGGUUGAGAGAGAUUGGCAGCAAGCACCCUGAAUACCUCGUGGCUCACGCUUACACUCGUUACCUGGGUGACCUGUCAGGUGGCCAGGUGCUGAGCCGCGUUCCCCAGAGGUCUUUAGGACUGAAGAACGGAGAGGGUUUGGCGUUCUUCUUCUUUCCCGCCAUCAGCAGCCCGAAUCUGUUCAAGCAGCUGUACAGAAGCAGGAUGAACAGCAUCGAGCUGACGGAGACACAGAGAGAGGGAGUGCUGGAGGAAGCCAUCAGAGCCUUCGAGUUCAACAUCCAGGUGUGUGUGUGUGGUUUGUUAUCCAGGUGUUUGAUGAACUCCAGAACUUGGUGAGCAUCUCAGAGAAGAAUGAGCUGAGACAGAGACACAAAGCACACACCCUCAAGACUCCAGAUGUCAGAGUGAGCCAGAGCUCAGAGCUAUCCUCCUCACUGACGUCCACCUCUCAGCUGCACAGGAUGCUGCUCGGAGUGUGUUUAGCUCUGGCAGUCGGAAUAGGAAUCUAUGUAUUUUAAAAUGUAUGCCUGUAUAACGUAUUUUUAUUUAUUUAUUCGACUCAGCUAGUUGAACUCACUUUGCCUAAUGCGCCAGAUAUUAGACAAAGUGACGUUUACAUGUGUUAAUCUUCUUUCUCUAAGCUGACGGAAUUUGGUGGGUGCACCCUAUAGUCUGUCCUGCUAAAUUUUUUGAAUCAUGGUGAGAAACCAGAAACACAUUCUGAGGUUUAAAAUGAGCCCGUGUUACUAUAUUAUGUGAGAAAUGAGCCAGUGUUACUACAUUAUGUGAGAAAGGAGGACAGCACCUGUACAGCUCUCAGGGAGAGCCAGGAAGUCAUGAUGUCACUGCCUUAUUUCUCACAGUUCUUUCUCAUUACUGCACUUCCUGUGAAUACCUGGAAGACAUAACCUCUAAAAAAAAUUAAAAAUAGAGAUGUUCUUUGCAACUGCUUAAUAUAAAUUAAUAACCUGCAAAGAUACAAACCAUGCUUUUCUCAUGUCAGGAAAAUUGCUCCUGUAAUAAAUGGCAUUAUGAUUUUCUAAUACUAGUGCAAACACAGUCAGAAGUCAGACAGUACUUGAACCAGCAUCGAAACUUCGAAGAUUUAGUAACAGAAAGCUUCUGAGAUGCCCUUUUCAUCAUUGUUUUGUGUUGGAAGGUUGGCACUGGAAACUAUUACUUGAGACACCAAAUGGUUUCCCUGUACUCUCACAGUUUAAAGAAAUAAAAAGUCAAAUGUACAGACAA